GAAGUUUAUAUUAUUAUUAUGCCCAAACAUGAUAAUCUGAUUUGCUUGCUUGUUUGUUUGUUGCUGUUAGUAGGACUUUUGGAAGCAGAUUUUCCAUGAUGGGAUAACUGAGUUGAAGGAACUUCAUUCUGAAUACAUGUGGAAUUUCUCAAAUCUGCAAGAUGCAUUUAACGAGGGCGGUGUGCUACACGCUGCUGCUGUUGCUGCUAGCAAUAUCUACCUCUUCUCUCCUG